GACGAACGCUGGCGGCGUGCUUAACACAUGCAAGUCGAACGGAAAGGCCCUGCUUUUGUGGGGUGCUCGAGUGGCGAACGGGUGAGUAACACGUGAGUAACCUGCCCUUGACUUUGGGAUAACUUCAGGAAACUGGGGCUAAUACCGGAUAGGAGCUCCUGCUGCAUGGUGGGGGUUGGAAAGUUUCGGCGGUUGGGGAUGGACUCGCGGCUUAUCAGCUUGUUGGUGGGGUAGUGGCUUACCAAGGCUUUGACGGGUAGCCGGCCUGAGAGGGUGACCGGCCACAUUGGGACUGAGAGACGGCCCCGACUCCUACGGGAGGCAGCAGUGGGGAAUAUUGCACAAUGGGCGGAAGCCUGAUGCAGCAACGCCGCGUGCGGGAUGACGGCCUUCGGGUUGUAAACCGCUUUCGCCUGUGACGAAGCGUGAGUGACGGUAAUGGGUAAAGAAGCACCGGCUAACUACGUG
rnacentral:rRNA from 1 species